rnacentral:rRNA from 1 species
GACGAACGCUGGCGGCGUGCUUAACACAUGCAAGUCGAACGAAGAGCGACGGAAGCUUGCUUCUAUCAAUCUUAGUGGCGAACGGGUGAGUAACGCGUAAUCAACCUGCCCUUCAGAGGGGGACAACAGUUGGAAACGACUGCUAAUACCGCAUACGAUCUAACCUCGGCAUCGAGGAUAGAUGAAAGGUGGCCUCUACAUGUAAGCUAUCACUGAAGGAGGGGAGUGCGUCUGAUUAGCUGGUCGGAGGGGUAACGGCCCACCAAGGCGAUGAUCAGUAGCCGGUCUGAGAGGAUGAACGGCCACAUUGGGACUGAGACACGGCACAGACGCCUACGGGAGGCAGCAGUGGGGAAUCUUCCGGAAUGGACGAAAGUCUGACGGAGCAACGCCGAGGGAGUGAUGACGGCCUUCGGGUUGUAAAGCUCUGUUAAUCGGGACGAAAGGCCUUCUUGCGAAUAGUGAGAAGGAUUGACGGUACCGGAAUAGAAAGCAACGGCUAACUACGUG